AACAAUCUGCCCUUACGUUCCGGAUAAUUGGUCGAAAGACCUUGUAAUACGGGGGAGGGAUCGGCCUUUGGCAUCUUAGACCGAGGGAAGUUGCAAGUUUACUUGUGACGCGCAAGGAGGAGUUCGCGGAUUAUCAGCUAGUUGGUGAGGUAACGGCUCACCAAGGCUACGACGAUUAGCUGGUCUGAGAGGAUGGUCAGCCACAUUGGAACUGAGAUACUGUCCAG
rnacentral:rRNA from 1 species